GGAGGAAUUCCCGAGUGGCUAAAGGGGGCAGACUGUAAAUCUGUUGUCAUUGACUUCGAUGGUUCGAAUCCAUCUUCCUCCA
rfam:Clostridium tyrobutyricum DIVETGP, WGS project CBXI01000000 data, contig: NODE_74